GGGAACGUAGCUCAAUUGGUUAGAGCAUCAAGCUUAUAUCUUGAAGGUAGUGGGUUCGAAUCCCACCGUUCCUA
rnacentral:tRNA from 1 species